rnacentral:rRNA from 1 species
GACGAACGCUGGCGGCGUGCUUAACACAUGCAAGUCGAGCGGAAAGGCCCUUUCGGGGGUACUCGAGCGGCGAACGGGUGAGUAACACGUGAGUAAUCUGCCUCUGGCUUCGGGAUAGCCACCGGAAACGGUGAUUAAUACCGGAUACGACACAUCACUGCAUGGUGCGUGUGUGGAAAGUUUUUUCGGCCAGGGAUGUGCUCGCGGCCUAUCAGCUUGUUGGUGGGGUAAUGGCCUACCAAGGCGUCGACGGGUAGCCGGCCUGAGAGGGUGACCGGCCACACUGGGACUGAGACACGGCCCAGACUCCUACGGGAGGCAGCAGUGGGGAAUAUUGGACAAUGGGCGGAAGCCUGAUCCAGCAACGCCGCGUGAGGGAUGACGGCCUUCGGGUUGUAAACCUCUUUCAGCACAGACGAAGCGCAAGUGACGGUAUGUGCAGAAGAAGGACCGGCCAACUACGUGCCAGCCGCCGCUGUAACAC